CCUACGGGGGGCUGCAGUGAGGAAUAUUGGUCAAUGGGCGAGAGCCUGAACCAGCCAAGUCGCGUGAAGGAUGACGGCCCUAUGGGUUGUAAACUUCUUUUGGCAGGGAGCAAUUCAGUCCACGCGUGCGCGUAGCGAGAGUACCUGCAGAAUAAGCAUCGGCUAACUCCGUGCCAGCAGCCGCGGUAAUACGGAGGAUGCGAGCGUUAUCCGGAUUUAUUGGGUUUAAAGGGUGCGUAGGCGGAAUAUCAAGUCAGCGGUAAAAUGUCGGGGCUCAACCCCGGCGGGCCGUUGAAGCUGGUGUUCGUGAGUGGGCGAGAAGUAUGCGGAAGGCGUGGUGUAGCGGUGAAAUGCAUAGAUAUCACGAAGAACUCCGAUUGCGAAGGCAGCAUACCGGCGCCCAACUGACGCUGAGGCACGAAAGCGUGGGGAUCGAACAGGAUUAGAUACCCGGGUAGUC
rnacentral:rRNA from 1 species